rnacentral:lncRNA from 1 species
CUUUCCUUGAAGGCAGGAUUCACAAAUCGGAUAUGACUCGAAAGUCAAUGAGCCCAAAAGCCCAUGUUUAUCCAAUUUGUUUAUUCUGUCUUCUCCUAUAUGGCCAAGUUUGAGGUGUCACAAAUACUUCUGGUUUAUCUCAUCUCUAGAUCUUCUUGAUCCUAUGGCACUCACUACUUACUCAGAUACAUUCACCGAUACAUCUAUAUGUAAGUGAUAGAGACUGUCAGUCAUAAAACCACAUGAAACCCAUUUAUUUAUCAAAUAAAUAGAACAGUAGUUUUACAAAACUCUUCCUAUGCUAAACAAAAUAUAGAAAUCAAAUUUCUGCUAGCAGUAGGUAACAGUCCCUAAGUAUCCUAAGCAUAUCUGACAUACCUUCUGAAGGUCUGUCACCCUUAUUGCUCUUUAUGCUUCCCAUGCAUGUAGGACAGUUCAUCUUCUAAUGGCCAUUUCAUGAUGCAAUGGAAACGCUUUCCCUUGCAUUCGGCCUUUUCUUGGAACUUCCUUGCUUGGCCUUUUCUCGGUCUUCUGUUUCUUC